rnacentral:rRNA from 1 species
AGAGCGAACGCUGGCGGCAGGCUUAACACAUGCAAGUCGAACGGGCGUAGCAAUACGUCAGUGGCAGACGGGUGAGUAACGCGUGGGAACGUACCUUUUGGUUCGGAACAACACAGGGAAACUUGUGCUAAAUACCGGAUAAGCCCUUACGGGGAAAGAUUUAUCGCCGAAAGAUCGGCCCGCGUCUGAUUAGCUAGUUGGUAGGGUAACGGCCUACCAAGGCGACGAUCAGUAGCUGGUCUGAGAGGAUGAUCAGCCACAUUGGGACUGAGACACGGCCCAAACUCCUACGGGAGGCAGCAGUGGGGAAUAUUGGACAAUGGGCGAAAGCCUGAUCCAGCCAUGCCGCGUGAGUGAUGAAGGCCCUAGGGUUGUAAAGCUCUUUUGUGCGGGAAGAUAAUGACGGUACCGCAAGAAUAAGCCCGGCUAACUUCGUGCCAGCAGCCGC